CCUACGGGAGGCAGCAGUGAGGAAUAUUGGUCAAUGGUCGGGAGACUGAACCAGCCAAGCCGCGUGAGGGAUGAAGGUACAGAGUAUCGUAAACCUCUUUUGUCAGGGAACAAAGUCCAGGACGCGUCCCCCUAUGCGUGUACCUGAAGAAAAAGCAUCGGCUAACUCCGUGCCAGCAGCCGCGGUAAUACGGAGGAUGCGAGCGUUAUCCGGAUUUAUUGGGUUUAAAGGGUGCGCAGGCGGUCUGUAAAGUCAGCGGUAAAAGCCCGGGGCUCAACCCCGCCCCGCCGUUGAAACUGGCAGUCUCGAGUGGGAGAGAGGUAGGCGGAAUGCGCGGUGUAGCGGUGAAAUGCAUAGAUAUCGCGCAGAACUCCGAUUGCGAAGGCAGCAUGCCGGCUCCAAACUGACGCUGAGGCACGAAAGCGUGGGUAUCGAACAGGAUUAGAUACCCUUGUAGUC
rnacentral:rRNA from 1 species